CGAAAGCCUGACGGAGCAACGCCGCGUGAGGGAUGAAGGCCUCUGGGCUGUAAACCUCUUUUCUCAAGGAAGAAGAUCUGACGGUACUUGAGGAAUAAGCCACGGCUAAUUCCGUGCCAGCAGCCGCGGUAAUACGUAGGGGGCGAGCGUUGUCCGAAGUUACUGGGCGUAAAGCGCGCGUAGGCGGUUCUUUAAGUCUGGGGUGAAAGGUUCAGGCUCAACGCGAACAGUGCCUUGGAUACUGGAGGACUUGAGUCCGGGAGGGGGAAGCGGAAUUCCUGGUGUAGCGGUGAAAUGCGUAGAUAUCAGGAGGAACACCGGUGGCGAAGGCGGCUUCCUGGCCUGAGACUGACGCUGAGGUGCGAAAGCGUGGGGAGCG
rnacentral:rRNA from 1 species